CACACCCUGGGGCCCGUUGUCCCUACAUCUGGUCCAGGUCCAGCCUCCCUCAGACAGAAGCCAAGACAGCCAGCCCCUACUUUUCUCUGAAUUUGAGGACCUAUAAUCUCAGGGUUGGCCGCCCAUUCUUCUGCCCCACUGCCCAUGCUGCCAUCUUAUGGAUGUCACACCUACUGUGCCAGGCUCUGUGCUGGGUGCUGGAGAGUAAACUCUAUCCUUGGUUCCCCAUGGAACUUGAUGUCUAGUGGGGUUAGACAAGUUACCACUCAGCUGCAAUCUUGUAUGAUUGCAGGGUGCAGGCACAGGGGGUGUGGAAGCCCAGAGAUGGGAACGUCAUGCAGACUUAGGGGUGGGGAGGAGGUCAGGUUAGGUAAGAGCAACAGUAACAGCUGACUCUUGGUAGCAUUUACUAUGUGCCAGACAAUGUUCUAAGAACCUCAAUUCUAUAACGUAGGUAGUAUUUAUUCCAUUUUACAGGUGAGGAAACUGAGGCCCAGGAAACUGGACAGUUUGGUGACUGGCUCAAGGUCUCAAAGUCUCUUGCGCCUAUCAUCCUAGCUCAGCCUGCCUCUUCUGGCCCUGUGGAUUCCCUGAUCUCCACCUUUGGCCCAUAAGUUAAGAACCCAGACUCCAGAGCUUAGGGUUGACUUCCAACUCCAUCACUUACCAGCUGUGUGACCUUGGGCAAGUUUCUUAACGUCUUUGUGCCUCAGUUUCCUCAUUUGUAAAAGGGAAAUCAUAACAGCACCUACUUAUUGAGGUUGUGAAGAUUAAAUACAUGUAAAGAGUUAGAUGUGUCUGGCGCAUAAUAAACACUAUGUACA